rnacentral:rRNA from 1 species
UUAAAUUGAAGAGUUUGAUCAUGGCUCAGAUUGAACGCUGGCGGCAGGCCUAACACAUGCAAGUCGAACGGUAACAGGAAGCAGCUUGCUGUUUCGCUGACGAGUGGCGGACGGGUGAGUAAUGUCUGGGAAACUGCCCGAUGGAGGGGGAUAACUACUGGAAACGGUAGCUAAUACCGCAUAAUGUCGCAAGACCAAAGAGGGGGACCUUCGGGCCUCUUGCCAUCGGAUGUGCCCAGAUGGGAUUAGCUAGUAGGUGGGGUAACGGCUCACCUAGGCGACGAUCCCUAGCUGGUCUGAGAGGAUGACCAGCCACACUGGAACUGAGACACGGUCCAGACUCCUACGGGAGGCAGCAGUGGGGAAUAUUGCACAAUGGGCGCAAGCCUGAUGCAGCCAUGCCGCGUGUAUGAAGAAGGCCUCGGGUUGGUAAAGUACUUUCAGCGGGGAGGGAAGGG